AGUUGGGGAAGAAAAAAAAAGAUACACAGGAAGUGUGGGGGUUGAAAGAGAAGAGUCUGCUCUUGUUGGGGUGGGUGAAGGUGCUGAGCAUCUCAAAAGAGGAGCUGCUGUGACCUGUGUAGAAGAUCUGCAACCUACAGUGUCCUGGGGAGGCCCAAGGAGUGCUCUGCUCAGGUCACUGUCUCAGAGAAACACAACCUGCUUAUGAGAAGAUGUUAUACUUUGCCACGUGUAUCCUUCAGUUCCACAAAGAAAAUGAAUCAGUGACUGAGUGAGGUGCAAUGCAUGCAAAACAGAAAACAUCUACAGUUGAUUAACUGGAACUUCAGGGCAGCCAGACGGGACCUGAGGUGUUCCCAGCGUGGCAGGGUGUACCUGAAGAACCUACUCCUUGGCCAGUCCCACUGGGCACUGCUUGAUCCAGAUCGGAGAAAUUGCUUCUAUUCCAAAAACUUCCAAAUAACCAUCUGGCUAAUUGUGUUUCACGGUAUAAGAUUAUCUUUGCUCAUGCACUGCGAUGGGAGAGAGCUCCUCCAUGCAGUCAUGCCUGGAUAAUUAGCCACUGCUUGAAAAAAUCAGUCUUAAAGCAUGGUGCCAAAUUGUGCUGCAUUGUCUUUCUUAGGCAGCACCUUGCCAACAGAGUUCCUUGUGCAAGUGGUCCUACUGACUGAGUGAGGUAUGUUUCCAUUUAGCAGUCCCUAAUGAGGACCGGAUUUUGCUCCUUUUGCCCUUGUUGGAUGUUACUCAUGCCCAUGACUAAUCCCAGAGAGCUGAAUGGAAGCUAUUCACCAAGGAGAGCGAGCCUGGCGUUCACAUGCUGACCCGCCAGUGUUGACUUCAAUGGGAAAUGGGAUUUUUGACCAAAUAGAGGACAACAGGAUCUGACCCACAGUAAAUGUGUGACUACAUGGAAAAGUCUAUUAAAAGCUUAGAGCC
rnacentral:lncRNA from 7 species